CAUAAAGAGGCCACACUUUUGCAUGUAAAAAGGGUAAAGUUACUUUACCUUUCUCUUUUCCUUUUCCUUUACGUUUUGCUUCUAUUUAGGAAGGGUUUUGUAGAAAAAACUUUAAGCUUUCUUCUUCUUCUUACUUCUGUGUGUGUAUGAUGAAGAUUAAGAGAGGAGUUGAAGAAUCAACACAACAAGGUUUUAAAGUGGUUCGGUUUUUAACAAAACCUAAAUCCACUGUGCUUUUGGGAGCAAGAUUUUUAUUCAUCACACUUUUAUCUUAAUUGAUAUAAGGUCAAUGGAAUGGCUGCAAUGUUACGAGAAUUACUCAGUGUCCGAAAUUUUGGUAGAUAUCCGAGUCAACUUUAAUUCUUUGUUUCCUUUGACAUGUGAACAAAUUGAAUUGGAUGAAUAAGUAGAAUUAUCUGUUUUACUUGAUCUUGGUAAAAUUAAUGUUCAAACUUUGGUGCCAAUAAAGAAAGACAAUGAUGUUGUUUGGUAUUUAGCUUUUGCUAAAGAUACAACUAGUAGAUAUCAAUUAGUUGCCCAUGUAAGUGUAAUUGUUUGGGAAUGUCUUCUUCAUCUAGUAGUGUACUGGUGGAUAUUGAUAAUUUAUUGAAUACAGAUUCUUUUUCUUCUGUUUCAAAUGAUGAAGUUUUAAGAGUCAUCUCUUAUUAUUCUGAUUUGAAGGAAAAACGUUUAUUUAAAAGUAAAAAAGUGCUUUCAAAGUGUUUUUGCAUAGUAGCAGUGAAGAACAACUUUCAAUUUAGGACUAAAGUAUCAAAUUUGAGAUCUCUUGAAUUUAAUGUUUGCAAGAAGGCUGCAAAUGGUAUGUUCAUGCAUCUCGUUAUAAGAAGAGUGAUUUAUGGAUGCUACAAAAAUACACUUCUGACCAUGAUCGUUCAUUAAGUAUAGUCCAAAGUUCUCACAUGCAAGCUUCUUCAACAAUAAUUGGCAGUUGUUUGAUAGAUGAUUUUAGAUCCAUGUCUACCAAUCGUUCCAUUCCUAAAGAAAUGGUGCAUAAGGCUAGUACAAAUCUUAGAGUUAAUAUAAGUUACCAAAAAGCUUGAAGGGCGAAAGGACAUAUGGUUAACAUAUUACAAGGUGACGCAGUUGAAUCGUAUACAUUAAUUUCAAGCUUCUUUGGUAAAUUGGUUCAAUCUAAUCUAGGUAUGAUCAGUUUUGUAUAUCAAAUUUAAAUUUAUUUGCAGAUAGAUGUGGAUAGACUAAUAUCACAGUUAUAUAGAUAGACAAAUAUUAGCAUCUAUCACAUUCUUUAUGUUCUUUUUUGUUUGUGCCGAUAAAAAUGUGUUUGUAAUUAUUAUAGGUACAUGCAUUGCUUUAGAAAUAGAUGAUAGUGGUCAUUUCAAGUUUUUCUUUAUGGUUUUUGGUGCAUCAAUUAAGGGGUUGAAAUAUUGUAGACCUAUUAUUUCUGUUGGUUGUACAUUUUUGAAGUGUAAGUUUGGUGGCAUCCUAUUAAUAACCUCAUCACAAGAUGGUACCAAUCAAAUUUUCCUCUGGCUUUUGCUAUUGUAGAUUCUGAAAAUGAUGUAGGACAUGGUUUUUUUGAGAAGAUACGAGGAAGUCUUUCAGAGCGGGAUAAUUUAGUCAUUAUUAUGAUAGACAUCUUAGCAUCCCUAAAGGAGUUUUAAGAGUGUUUCCUGACGUUGAGUAUUGUGUGUGCACACAACAUCUUUUAAGUAUCUUGAAACUCCAUUUUAAGGAUCCACUACUUGAUAAAUAUUUCUUUAGCUGUGCUUAUGCCUACACCAUUGAUGAAUUUGAGUACCAUAUGAGAUGCAUGGAGUCCGUUUGUCUAUGGGAAGAGUUUGCGUGCUGUAAAUAAUCAAUUAGUUCCCAUUUAAGAUCCUUUGACAUAACCAUACGAUCAUUUAAUCGAUCAUUUACCCUUAUCGUGUAAUUAAUGAAUGUGAUUUCAGUUUUAAAAUUAGGGCAUUAAGGCCACGUGACGACCAUGUGUAGAGUUUAGGGCUUGGAAAGAAAAACUCUUCAUUUUCGGAUCCUUCAUAUUCUUUAUAAACUCGAGCUCUCAAACCAAUAGGUUUAGGGUUUCCAAUGUUUUCCUAUCGAACAUUUCCCUUUCUUAAACUGUGCUUCAUGAUGCUGUUAUCUCGACAAAGAACAACAGGAUCGGAAAGAAGAAGAAAAAAACGUGCAAGAUGCAAAAGGAAAGGAAUGGAUGGUAGAUUUGACAAAGUAAACUAUGAUGGUGAUUCCAAAAAUGUCUAUAAAAAACCAUGGUAGGCUCUUACCUACUUCAUCUUGAAACCACCAGCUAUAAAUUUUCUAUCUAUCUGGAAGUUUGUAACACAUCGGAAAAGGUAUACAAUCAUUUUAACCAAGGCCACCGUUCUGGGUUAACAUGAUUGUACAGUAUUUUUGGUGGUCGGUAUAGAACUAGAGGAAGUUUUGAUUGUUAAAGAUGAUGAAGGAGAUUGAGAGCAAGAAUAAAGAAUAUGAGUUGUUCCAAAAUAAAUACGAGUUUCUGAGGCUUGACAAUCUUACUCAUGAUUCAACGAUUGACGAAGACAAGAUUGAGGUCAAUCGAGGAGUUGAAGGAGAUGGAGAGUAAAAUUCAAUGACUCAAAAAAUUGUACACAUUUGAAUAUUUCUCUGUAUUACACUUGUUAAAAAGAAUCAUUUAUGACUACAUAUUAUAAAACAAUUGUUUAAAAUAAAGAAUAUACACAUUCAUUUAGAA